rnacentral:miRNA from 1 species
CAUGUCUGUCUCUGUGGCACACA